rnacentral:lncRNA from 1 species
UUUUUAGAACUCAUUUUAUUUCAGUGGCACAAUUCGUGAUAUACAAGGUCAAAUUUCUUUCUAACUAGAAUUCAUUUCACAUUGAAGAAUACAUGAUGUGAUGAGAUGCGUUGAUGAGAUACAGAUGGUGGCAGGGAUCAACCCUCCACGACCAAAGCCUUAAAACAAGGAGACAUAGCCCUAAAACAAGAACCAAAAUAAUUUUAGCAGACCAGACCGAAAAUUCAUGAAAAUGACUCUGAGAUCUACUUUAAAACAUUCAAGACACACGAUCAAAGAACAUAGACAAAUCUGAUUGUAGAAGAACCACGAAAACCGGAUAAAUAUGAAAAGCUGCUUAAGAAAAAAAACAUUAGAGGGCCUUGAUAAACUGCUCCGAAAACGGAGUCCCAAGGACAACAUUGACAUAUCCAAAUCUUGAGAUCUCUUUAUAUUGCUCCGGAGAAGCGGAGCCAACGAGACUGCAAGGAAAAGCCAGAACGAAGACGCAAUAUAUUCUUCUCGAGAGAACAUAACAAGGAGCAAACUAGCGAUGGUGGAGACUUCUACAACUGAAGCGGAAAAGUACUGGUAGAUGAACCACCUCUGCCGAAAUGAAAACGGCCAGAUCUGCAACAAUAACAAACCAAAACAGUAGCCAGAUCCAGACUUGAAAGGCAUAAACGAUCUUUAAUUUGUGUCUACAAGCAGAAAUCCGGAACCAAAACAGAGAAAAUACACGUCUACACCAAGUUAGAAACAACGACAACCCCCCUUCUUAAACACUAUCUCCUUUCCGAUUAGGUUAUCAAACUAGAGAUCUUUAGAUUUCGCCAUUAAUACAAGAAAAAGAUCCCCACCAUAGCAUGAGACAAAACUUAAGCAAGACAUAUCUUAAAAGAACCACACGGAAAUGAUUUACAAACAUGAGAGCACUACCGGAGCUGAAGAUUUGAAAAUCUGAAAGGUUUUUGGUGAAGAGAGAAGAUGAAGAGUUUAGGGUAGAGAAAGAAGAUAAGGUUAAUUUUAGGGCUUAUUUGCAGAAUAACCAUAUUUUGAAUAUAAAUUAGGUGACUGGCAAUGAUUUUGACAUAAUGCAAUGUCAGUCGUUUAAACUUUAAAUUGUCCAAUUUUAUCCCUUCGCUUAACAAGUUUCCAGUUGCAAGUGAGAGAUUAGAUGACGCCGUG